AUUGAACGCUGGCGGCAUGCCUAACACAUGCAAGUCGAACGGCAGCGGGUUUGGUAGCAAUACCAGAUGCCGGCGAGUGGCGGACGGGUGAGUAGAAAGUAGGGAUCUGCCUUAUAGUUGGGGAUAACUUGUGGAAACGCGAGCUAAUACCGGAUGAACACUACGGUGUAAAGUAUGGGACCAGUAAUGGCCAUGCGCUAUAAGAUGAACCUACGUCGGAUUAGCUAGUUGGUUGGGUAAAGGCUGACCAAGGCGAAGAUCCGUAGCUGGUCUGAGAGGAUGAUCAGCCACACUGGGACUGAGACACGGCCCAGACUCCUACGGGAGGCAGCAGUGGGGAAUAUUGCGCAAUGGGCGGAAGCCUGACGCAGCGACGCCGCGU
rnacentral:rRNA from 1 species